AAAAAUUUAGUUAAAUAAUAACAUUAGCCCGUCAAGCUAAAAUUACUUUAAAAGGUAAUUUUUG
rnacentral:tRNA from 1 species